AUUGAACGCUGGCGGCAGGCCUAACACAUGCAAGUCGAACGGCAGCACAGAAGAGCUUGCUCUUUGGGUGGCGAGUGGCGGACGGGUGAGUAACACGUAGGAAUCUACCCAGUAGUGGGUGAUAACCUGGGGAAACCCAGGCUAAUACCGCAUACGCCCUGAGGGGGAAAGCGGGGGAUCUUCGGACCUCGCGCUAUUGGAUGAGCCUGCGUCGGAUUAGCUAGUUGGUGGGGUAAGGGCCCACCAAGGCGACGAUCCGUAGCUGGUCUGAGAGGAUGACCAGUCACACCGGAACUGAGACACGGUCCGGACUCCUACGGGAGGCAGCAGUGGGGAAUAUUGGACAAUGGGCGCAAGCCUGAUCCAGCCAUGCCGCGUGGGUGAAGAAGGCCUCGGUGUAAG
rnacentral:rRNA from 1 species